rnacentral:lncRNA from 1 species
UUGAGAACUUAUUCUUAAAACUUUUGAAAGUGUAGUCCUUUUGGCCAACAUCUCCUCCAACAACCUCAGCACCAGACUGUGCACUGUGGACAGUGUAAAGUAAGGGGCAAGUGUGUGUACCUUCCAUGCACAUCCAUGUUCAUGCACACAAACAGAAAGGAAACCAGACUUUGUGCUGGCAAAGGUAACAGCUGCAGUGGCUUCACUGCAUCAGGGAAUGACUGAUAUAACCUGCUUGGAUGGUCUGAGGACCCACUGGGAGUACCCCAUCAAAUGUGACAAAUAAUGUGGCUUAUGUUGUCAUAAUCAAGGCCUCUUUAUUGGAAGGUAGUGUUGAAGCAGGCAACUCAGAUGGAAUCUCUUGGGCUAGGGAUAGAUUACCUGUUAGUGUUUUAGAUCUGCUAGAUGCCCGGAGAGGCUCAGAGCCAAGAGAAUCUUCUAUGAGUUCUUCAAAGGAUGGAUGUCUGAUUCAAGAUAAAUGAGAGUCCUGUUGAAGUUACAACCUACUGACUGCACACCUGCAUGAUGGUGUUAACCUCGUAUGGGGGACCCCUAAAGGAUGUCAUAUAUCACAGAAAACCCACUACAUUGCCAGCCCUUAGAGAAGAAAAUGAAAAUGCAUGUGCAGCAAUCUCGAUGACCAAGGUUACCCAAGAAGAAGUUUGCUGUACUAGUAAAUGUCUGGAAGCUAACAUCCACCACUUUGAGCACAUCUUGUAAUUGUAGAGGACAAAAGUAACUUGUAUUAAUCUUAUGAUGUCUAAAUAAAUUUAAUAUUAAAAUAUUUAUACAAGUUUUUAUUUUCCAGAAGUGUCCAUACAGUGUUUGGCAGACUAUACUUAUAUCUAUACAUCUAUAUCUAUCAACAAAUAUAGAAAACAUUAUUCACUGCCUACCGAAUCUCCACAUUUAUUUUUGUUCUUUCUUAUAGAAUCUUGAUAUUUUUAUGGACAAUGUGUUCACAAGACUUGCCUUUGCAAAUAUCCUUCUAUUCAGAAAGGCCAUUUAAAACAUAUCUGGCUAGUAAAAAAUAAUCUGAGAAGUUUUAGAA